rnacentral:rRNA from 1 species
GAUGAACGCUGGCGGCGUGCCUAAUACAUGCCAGUCGAGCGAACAGAUGAGGAGCUUGCUCCUCUGACGUUAGCGGCGGACGGGUGAGUAACACGUGGAUAACCUACCUAUAAGACUGGGAUAACUUCGGGAAACCGGAGCUAAUACCGGAUAAUAUAUUGAACCGCAUGGUUCAAUAGUGAAAGACGGUUUUGCUGUCACUUAUAGAUGGAUCCGCGCCGCAUUAGCUAGUUGGUAAGGUAACGGCUUACCAAGGCAACGAUGCGUAGCCGACCUGAGAGGGUGAUCGGCCACACUGGCACUGAGACACGGUCCAGACUCCUACGGGAGGCAGCAGUAGGGAAUCUUCCGCAAUGGGCGAAAGCCUGACGGAGCAACGCCGCGUGAGUGAUGAAGGUCUUCGGAUCGUAAAACUCUGUUAUUAGGGAAGAACAAAUGUGUAAGUAACUAUGCACGUCUUGACGGUACCUAAUCAGAAAGCCACGGCUAACUACGUG